rnacentral:rRNA from 1 species
GACGAACGCUGGCGGCGUGCUUAACACAUGCAAGUCGAACGGUAAGGCCCUUCGGGGUACACGAGUGGCGAACGGGUGAGUAACACGUGGGUGAUCUGCCCUGCACUUCGGGAUAAGCCUGGGAAACUGGGUCUAAUACCGGAUAGGACCACUGCCUGCAUGGGUGGUGGUGGCAAGCUUUUGCGGUGUGGGAUGGGCCCGCGGCCUAUCAGCGUGUUGGUGGGGUGAUGGCCUACCAAGGCGACGACGGGUAGCCGGCCGGAGAGGGUGACCGGCCACACUGGGACUGAGAUACGGCCCAGACUCCUACGGGAGGCAGCAGUGGGGAAUAUUGCACAAUGGGCGCAAGCCUGAUGCAGCGACGCCGCGUGAGGGAUGACGGCCUUCGGGUUGUAAACCUCUUUCAGCACCGACGAAGCGCAAGUGACGGUAGGUGCAGAAGAAGGACCGGCCAACUACGUGCCAGCCGCCGCCGUAA